AGGCAUACCCUUGUGGACGGCGCCAUUUACCUUGACAUCGACAUAAUCACCGAUCUUGUAGGUCCUGAGAUAGACAGUCAAGGGAAUGUAUCCCUUCUUCCUGAAGGGUCUUGAGAACAAAUCGCGAGUUCGCGAACGAAGACCAUGACCGGCUGGCAUUUUCGCUCUCCUUCCGGCUCUCUGUGUGCCGGUGGCUCCAAAG
rnacentral:misc_RNA from 1 species